ACGGGAGGCAGCAGUGGGGGAUAUUGCACAAUGGGGGAAACCCUGAUGCAGCAAUGCCGCGUGAGGGAAGAAGGUCUUCGGAUUGUAAACCUCUGUCAACAGGGACGAAAAUGACGGUACCUGUGAAGGAAGCUCCGGCUAACUACGUGCCAGCAGCCGCGGUAAUACGUAGGGAGCAAGCGUUAUCCGGAAUUACUGGGUGUAAAGGGAGUGUAGGCGGGACUGUAAGUCAGAUGUGAAAUAUGCCGGCUCAACUGGCAGACUGCAUUUGAAACUGCGGUUCUUGAGUGAAGUAGAGGUAAGCGGAAUUCCUAGUGUAGCGGUGAAAUGCGUAGAUAUUAGGAGGAACACCAGUGGCGAAGGCGGCUUACUGGACGGUAACUGACGUUGAGGCUCGAAAGCGUGGGGAGCAAACAGGAUUAGAUACCCUGGUA
rnacentral:rRNA from 1 species